rnacentral:rRNA from 1 species
GAUGAACGCUGGCGGCGUGCCUAAUACAUGCAAGUCGAGCGAACAGACGAGGAGCUUGCUCCUCUGACGUUAGCGGCGGACGGGUGAGUAACACGUGGAUAACCUCCCUAUAAGACUGGGAUAACUUCGGGAAACCGGAGCUAAUACCGGAUAAUCUAUUGCACCGUAUGGUUCAUUAGUGAAAGACGGUUUUGCUGUCACUAAUAGAUGCAUCCGGGCCGCAUUAGCUAGUUGGGAAGUUAACGGCUUACCAAGGCAACGAGGCGUACCCGACCUGGGAGGGUGAUCGGCGACACGAGAGGUGAGACACGUACAAGGCUCCUGCGGGAGGCAGCAGUAGGGAAUCUGCCGCAAUGGGCGAGAGCCUGGCGGAGCAAGGCCGCGUGAGUGAUGAAGGUCUUCGGAUCGUAAAACUCUGUUAUUAGGGAAGAACAGAUGUGUAAGUAACUAUGCACGUCUUGACGGUACCUAAUCAGAAAGCCACGGCUAACUACGUG